rnacentral:lncRNA from 1 species
GCUGCUUCUGUUUAUACCAAGAGGCUUUUCGUGUCGAACUUCGACUUCUGCUUCCACCUUUUGUCAUCACUCUCUUCCACUUUUUAAAUAUUUCUUUAGUUUCUAUAGCACCGAACUCCUUUAGAUUUCUGAUAAGAUUUCUUUCCCUCUGUCGCCUAACCGAAGUCCAGCCAACCCUUUCUCUGUUCAGGAAUUUCUAUACCUUCAAGCAUCACCCUUCGGC